GGAAGAUCGUCGUCUCCGGUGAGACGAUUGGACUUCAUUUCCAGUGGUAGCCGCCUGCGGCUCCCGGCAGGUUCGACUCCUGCGAUCUCCGCCA
rnacentral:tRNA from 1 species